rnacentral:sRNA from 1 species
CCCAGUGGGCACACUCCCAGGCGGCGCUCCGGCCCCGCGCUCCCUCCCUCUGCCUUUCAUUCUCAGCUGCCAACAUCCUGGAAGCUUUCAAGCUCAGGAAAGAAGAGAAAUCCAUUGAGAACAGUCUGUGAAGAGUGAGAAGUGGACCUUGGACCACCCUGUCUGGAGUCAUUCCCUGGGCUUCUCCAGCCCCUGAAGAAUAUAGUCUCACUCUUGUCACCCAGGCUGGAGUACAAUGGCUCGAUCUCGGCUCACUGCAACCUCUGCCUCCUGGGUUCAAGACAUUCUCCUGCCUUAGUUUCCCAAGUAGCUGGUAUUACAGGCAUGCACCACCACACCCAGCUAAUUUUUGUAUUUUUAGUAGAGACAGAGAUUCGCCAUGUUGGCCAGGCUGGUCUUGAACUGCUGACCUUGGGUGAUCUGUCGCCUCAGCCUCUCAAAGUGCUGGGAUUACAGGUAUCCUAGGAAUAUCUUGCCUGCUUAGACCCUCUAUAAAAGCUCUGUGCAUCCUGCCACUGAGGACUCUGAAGAGGUAGCAGUCUUCUGAAAGACUUCAACUGUGAGGACAUGUCGUUCAGAUUUGGCCAACAUCUCAUCAAGCCCUCUGUGGUGUUUCUCAAAACAGAACUGUCCUUCGCUCUUGUGAAUAGGAAACCUGUGGUACCAGGACGUAUCCUUUUUUUUUUUUUUUUUUGGAGAGGGAAAAUAAAAGUCUUCCGAGCCUAACCAGCCAAAUGAAUAUAAAUACAAGAUUGGCCUCCAGUCUGUCCAAAAAGGUAAAUAAAGAAUCCAUCUCCCUCCCACUUUGGAGACACCAGGUAAGAUGUUACUCACAUUUAUUCUGAAUCCAGUUGGUGGCACCAGUAAUAUGCUUGAUCAGUGUUGCAGAACUUCUGAAGAGAGUUGCUUAGCAACCGUGGCUUUGGAGGUGAAUUUUUGCUUGACCUUUUCACUACUAUAGCUGAGUAAAUAAAUAGGUGCUUCUAAAAUGAGCCCAGUGAAUAUCACGGGCACUUGGUUUUCAGCUUAUCUGUUGUGAAUUUUAAUAGUAGAUUGGGUGGUGCCUUUGUGAUGUGGAAGUAAGAGAUGUAAGGAUUUGAGACUGACUUUGUUGCUUUACCUCUUGGAGACCAUUCAAGUUGUGCGUUUUAAUUAAAUUUAUAUUAUAGAUAUACUUACAGUUUUUAUUAGGACCUGAAAUAGCAUUUUCUCUUGGGAAAAAUACCAGCUUGUAGAUCAUUGACCAGUGUCAUUUGUGGAGUUGUUUUAUUUCCCUCUGACCACUGAGUUGUAGUCUUUGCUCCUAUAGACUUCAGUAGGAGCUUUAUUCUUUUGCAGUGGGAAUAACAAGUAUUGGUGAAAUGCUUGGGGAGUUGUUUUUAUGUUGUUGAAAGUAUCACCCCUGAUUGUGUGCGUGUGAAUUUUGUACGGACUCUUCAGGAUGUUUUUCUCUUUCCUCCUUAACUUAGUUUACCAUGCAGAAGGCAACAGAAUAAAAUUUGAUAUUUUCAGAUAAUAAGUAUUUUCCCCGCUGAGACAUGAUUUUGCUUUGAAAUGAAUUUCUUAGUAAUUCUGAAUGUACAAAUAUGCCAAGAGGUUUUUCAGAGUAAGCUACAUUUUUUUUCCAGUGAAAAUGUGGAAAGUGCUCGAGAACUUUAUGAACAAGCUUCCUUUCUAGCCAUGUAACUAUUGUAUGCUGAAAAAAAAA